rnacentral:rRNA from 1 species
AUUGAACGCUGGCGGCAGGCUUAACACAUGCAAGUCGAGCGGGGAAGGGUAGCUUGCUACCUAACCUAGCGGCGGACGGGUGAGUAAUGCUUAGGAAUCUGCCAUUUAGUGGGGGACAACGUUCCGAAAGGAAUGCUAAUACCGCAUACGUCCUACGGGAGAAAGCAGGGGAUCUUCGGACCUUGCGCUAAAUGAUGAGCCUAAGUCGGAUUAGCUAGUUGGUGGGGUAAAGGCCUACCAAGGCGACGAUCUGUAGCGGGUCUGAGAGGAUGAUCCGCCACACUGGGACUGAGACGCGGCCCAGACUCCUACGGGAGGCAGCAGUGGGGAAUAUUGGACAAUGGGCGGAAGCCUGAUCCAGCCAUGCCGCGUGUGUGAAGAAGGCCUUAUGGUUGUAAAGCACUUUAAGCGAGGAGGAGGCUACUUAGAUUAAUACUCUAGGAUAGUGGACGUUACUCGCAGAAUAAGCACCGGCUAACUCUGUGCCAGCAGCCGCCGUAA